UACGAAGGGGGCUAGUGUUGCUCGGAAUCACUGGGCGUAAAGGGUGCGUAGGCGGGUCUUUUAAGUCAGGGGUGAAAUCCUGGAGCUCAACUCCAGAACUGCCUUUGAUACUGAAGAUCUUGAGUUCGGGAGAGGUGAGUGGAACUGCGAGUGUAGAGGUGAAAUUCGUAGAUAUUGGGAAGAACACCGAUGGCGAAGGCAGCCAUCUGGACCGACACUGACGCUGAGGCGCGAAAGCGUGGGGAGCAAACAGG
rnacentral:rRNA from 1 species